rnacentral:lncRNA from 1 species
AAAUUUAAUAGAGGAAUUGGGAUUUAAGCCAUACCUUAAAAGACAGGUAAAAUGUAAUCUGAAGAGAAAAAUUAGUAAAGUCUUUCAGGCAGGAGAAAAACAUCAUGAGUAGCAAAAAUAUACUUCAGAUUCAAGGGCCUCAAGGCACUAACUGUCCUCUGGAGAAUACAACAGUGACACAGAUUAAAUGGUUAGUAGGAGGACCUAAUAGAGAAAGGUGUUGCAUAGUCUGUUAGACCAAAACAAUUUAAGAAGAUAAAAGAACAUAAAAUGUAGCUCUGAAUAAGUUAGUUCAAAGAAACUAUAUCUAGAAAG